AUUGAACGCUGGCGGCAGGCCUAACACAUGCAAGUCGAGCGAGCGGCGGACGGGUGAGUAAUGUAUGGGGACUGCUCGACAGAGGGGGAUAACUACUGGAAACGGUGGAUAAUACCGCAUACUAUCGGAUAACCCAUAUGGGAUUAGCUAGUAGGUGGGGUAAAGGCUCACCUAGGCGACGAUCUCUAGCUGGUCUGAGAGGCUGAUCAGCCACACUGGGACUGAGACACGGCCCAGACUCCUACGGAGGCAGCAGUGGGGAAUAUUGUGCAAUGGGCGCAAGCCUGAUGCAGCCAUGCGGCGUGUGUGAAGAAGGCCUUUGGGUUGUAAAGUACUUUCUGCGGGGAAUCGUUACCUGCAGAAGAAGCACCGGCUAACUCCGUGCCAGCAGCCGCGGUAAUAC
rnacentral:rRNA from 1 species